rnacentral:rRNA from 1 species
GAGCACGUAGGUGGGUUUGUAAGUCAGGUGUGAAAGCCUUCUGUUCAACGGAAGAAUUGCAUCUGAAACUGCGAGUCUUGAGUGUAGGAGGGGAGAAUGGAACUUCUGAUGGAGCGGUGAAAUGCGUAGAUAUCAGAAGGAACGCCGGCGGCGAAAGCGAUUCUCUGGCCUAUUACUGACACUCAGUGUGCGAAAGCUAGGGGAGCAAACGGGAUUAGAUACCCCGGUAGUCCUAGCCGUAAACGAUGGGCACUAAGUAGAGGGAAUUACCGAUGUUCUCUCUGCCGUAGCUAACGCAUUAAGUGCCCCGCCUGGGGAGUACGGCCGCAAGGCUAAAACUCAAAAGAAUUGACGGGGGCUCGCACAAGCGGUGGAGCAUGUGGCUUAAUUCGAUGCAACGCGAAAAACCUUACCGGGGCUUGACAUGGUAGAAGUAGGAACCCGAAAGGGUAACGAACGGUAUCCAGUCCGUAGCUAUCACAGGUGUUGCAUGGCUGUCGUCAGCUCGUGUCGUGAGACGUUGGGUUAAGUCCCCUAACGAGCGAAACCCUUGUUUUUAGUUACCAGCGGGUUAUGCCGGGUACUCUAGAAAGACUGCCGUCGUCAAGACGGAGGAAGGUGGGGAUGACGUCAAGUCAUCAUGGCCCUUAUGCCCCGGGCUGCGCACGUGCUACAAUGGUCGGUACAAACGGAUGCGAAGCCGAGAGGUGAAGCGAAUCC